CUACUACAGUAGUUAUGAUUUUAUAUUUUAUUUUUAAUUAGAAUAUCUAUUAAAUUAGUGCUAGCAUUUAGACAUUUUUUUAAAUUAGAUUUAUAAACUAACUACUGUUUACAACCUAAGCAAACAAAGGCAUUGUUGACAGCAAAACAAUGACAAUGUAGAUAGGUUACAGGCUAUAAAGAUUUUAAUUCUACUACAUUUAGGUGUAAGUUAAACUACAUUCAGUUUUAAAGUUUAAAUUGUUAAUGUCUACUUUCAAACUACUUAUAUUUUCUAGUUUUAUAUUAUGCUAAUAUUUUAGUUUGAAUCUGUGUUUUAUUUCUACUA